AUAUCAAUAAGCGGAGGAAAAGAAACCAACAGGGAUUACCCUAGUAACGGCGAGUGAAGCGGUAACAGCUCAAAUUUGGAAUCUAACCUUUCACGGGUUCGAGUUGUAAUUUGUAGAGUUUGUUUCGGAUAAGGCUUUGGUUUAAGUUUCUUGGAACAGAACGUCAUAGAGGGUGAGAGUCCCGUCUAGAACUGAUAGCCGUGUCCAUGUGAAACAUUAUCUCGACGAGUCGAGUUGUUUGGGAAUGCAGCUCAAAAUGGGUGGUAAAUUUCAUCUAAAGCUAAAUAUUGGCCAGAGACCGAUAGCGCACAAGUAGAGUGAUCGAAAGAUGAAAAGCACUUUGAAAAGAGAGUUAAACAGUAUGUGAAAUUGUUGAAAGGGAAGCGCUUGCAACCAGACUUGUGUUUAAUGGUUCCCUCUGAUCUUUUUGAUUAGAGCUAUUCCAUUAUAUCCAGGCUAGCAUCGGUUCAGGUGGUUGGUUAAAGAUUUUAGGAAUGUAUCUACCUUUCGGGGUCGACUUAUAGCCUAAAAUGUAAUGCAGCCUACUUGGACCGAGGAACGCGCUUUUUUGCUCGGAUGCUGGCGUAAUGGUUGUAAGCGG
rnacentral:rRNA from 1 species